GGAUUACAGGCGUGAGCCAUCACACCCGGCCUGGAUGCUGGUAGUUUUAUUUUCUGCUUAGAAAACGCAACCAUGUUGAUGGGACCAAAAACUUAGUUGAAAGAAGCCAUGGCAAAAGAUGUUGACGUACAACUGGCUCCUGAGGCUGUCAAUUGUUUAGAGCUCCCAAGUAGUACUGCAUUACGGAAUCUACUACUUAGAAGAAUGUACAAGAUGUAAGUUCCCAUCGGCACCGUCAUGGUAAGAAGAAUAAGAAACUCUCAAAGGAAAAGAAACUUACAUUCACUUUUUCCUGGUCCAUUUUGGUUCCUAAGAAUAGAUAGGCCAUUAAGAAGGAUAUUAGGUUUCUAAGGACAAUUUUAACACAAUACUGCUUUAAAAAUCUGAAGUUUAAAUAGUUUAGCUAUUUCUGUAGGUUAAUUCAGGCACUGACUAAAAUCAGUCUCAUUAUCAUAUACAAAUGUAAGGAAGUUAAAUUUUAAAAGCAUGUAUAGGUUGUCCUUAAAUUAUACAAAAGCUUUUAGUUUCAUCAGGAUUAUAUUCCAGUUAACCUUUCAUCUUUUUUUUUUUUCCAAAUGAACUAGGGUCUUUAAAAUUCCUAAGUAGAUUCUUUUGAGUGGUAGGGGAGUCUGUAUAGAUUACAGAUAUAAUUUAUUGUGAUAACAAAUGGCUUCCUGUUUGACCUCAUUUCCAGGUGUCGCAUCCGUGGCUGAUUUAUUUCACAGAUGUACAUUUGCAUGUACUUGUUGAACUUUGCUAGGAAGGACUCAAUUUUUGAAAAAUCUGUUAUUUUCACUGUGGGCCUUAUGAGGCAAUCUACUGCAAUGGAAAAAGGGUUCCUUGGUCAUUUCAAGUUUUAUUUUCUAUUAGAGUAAUAUCUAACUUCAAUUAUUUUGCCAGGUUUAAACCUUCUCUCUGUGUCUGUGGUUAGAAUUUGAAAAUAACAAUGCUCUGCUUAAAGUAAGAGUCACAGUCAGCAAAAAAA
rnacentral:lncRNA from 1 species